GAGUAACGCAUUGGUGACCUACCCCGAAGAGGGGGAUAACAGUUCGAAAGGACUGCUAAUACCCCAUGAUCUCGCCGAGGUUAGAGGCUCGGUGAGGAAAGCAGCAAUGCGCUUUGGGAGGGACCUGCGUCCCAUCAGCUAGUUGGUAGGGUAACGGCCUACCAAGGCGACGACGGGUAGGGGGCCUGAGAGGGUGGCCCCCCACACUGGCACUGAAACACGGGCCAGACACCUACGGGUGGCAGCAGUAGGGAAUAUUGCACAAUGGGCGCAAGCCUGAUGCAGCAACGCCGCGUGCGCGAAGAAGGCCUUCGGGUCGUAAAACGCUUUUCUGGAGGACGAGGAAGGACGGUACUCCAGGAAUAAGGAUCGGCUAACUACGUGCCAGCAGCCGCGGUAACACGUAGGAUCCGAGCGUUAUCCGAAUUUACUGGGCGUAAAGCGCGUGUAGGCGGCUGGGUAAGUUGGACGUGAAAGCUCCUGGCUCAACUGGGAGAGGUCGUUCAAAACUGCCUGGCUAGAGGGCGGUAGAGGGAGGUGGAAUUCCCGGUGUAGUGGUGAAAUGCGUAGAUAUCGGGAGGAACACCAGUGGCGAAGGGGCCUCCUGGGCGCUCCUGACGCUCAGACGCGAAAGCUAGGGGAGCGAACGGGAUUAGAUACCCCGGUAGUCCUAGCUGUAAACGAUGUGGACUUGGCGUUGGUGGGGUAAAACCUGCCAGUGCCGGAGCUAACGCAGUAAGUCCACCGCCUGGGGACUACGGCCGCAAGGUUAAAACUCAAAGGAAUUGGCGGGGGCCCGCACAAGCAGCGGAGCGUGUGGUUUAAUUCGAUGCUACACGAAGAACCUUACCCAGGUUUGACAUCCAGGUAGUAGGGAACUGAAAGGGGACCGACCCUUCGGGGAGCCUGGACAGGUGCUGCAUGGCUGUCGUCAGCUCGUGUCGUGAGAUGUCCGGUUAAGUCCGGUAACGAGCGCAACCCUUGCUGUAUGUUACAUGUGUCAUACAGGACUGCCGGUUUAGUGCCGGAGGAAGGCGGGGAUGACGUCAAGUCAGCAUGGCCUUUAUAUCUGGGGCUACACACACGCUACAAUGGCCGGUACAAUGGGUCGCAAAGCCGCGAGGUAGAGCCAAUCCCCAAAGCCGGUCUCAGUUCGGAUUGCAGGCA
rnacentral:rRNA from 1 species